GUUCAAUACUUUUUGUAACUAAAAUAUAAUUUAAUAAGAAACUAAUUUUUGCAUAUUUUCCGAGUUUCCUUUAUUGGCUCACCUGGAAGCACAGUCAUGAUACUACUACAGAGCGUUUGUUAUUACACAAGGAAAUACUUAACCAAGAAGAAAGUUUAGCUUCUGAAAUAGUUUUAAAAAAAUGCUACCUAAAAAGUAUGAGGCAAAGAGAUGAAUAAUGUUAUUUGUUUGGAGGGAGAGGUGCAACCAAAUGUUAAUUAUUUGUGCCAUAAUGACAAGAAGUUCGUGAAUCGAGUUUACAUAUUUAUACAUCUAUGCUGGCUGAAGAUUUACAUCUUGUAUCCAAUGCAUGUUGCUGACGUUAUGCUCUGCAGAUUCUCAUUACACCGAGUUCUUCUGUGUUCAUCUGCUUCCUCAAGGCCAUGAUCCAUUACAUCUGUCUCAGCUCAGCUGAUGCUCUGGCAGUGGUUCUCUGCACUGAGCAUUGCUGCCACACACCUUUGGUCUUUAAACCUGAACUGAAAUGAAGCUUAAACUAAAAUGUAGAGGGCAAAUGGUGUGCAAAACAAAAUUUAAAUAGUAGUGAUUAAUCUUUCCAAUGAAGUUUUUUGGUUCUAGCCCAUUAAUUUUCAAUGAACGUUCAUUAAGUACUUAUCAUGUACUAGCCACCAUCUUACCUCCAAAAAUAAAGAUGAUAGAUAAAUGAUAUUUGGUUUCGGCACUCAUUUAAUAUUAUUGUGUGAGUAUAUGUAUGUGUAGACAAACUAAUAAUAUUAUGACAUGGAUAAUCACAUGAUCGUCGAAACUAUGUAGUGUGUGAGCCCAAAGAGCUGGAAGUAAAAGGUGGUAAUGAAUCUGCACCUUCUCAUCCCCCCAGUGACAUCACUAACACCCAAAUCCAAUCUCUGUGGAGUUAGAUCCAUGAAGGAAAGGAGACUUUGAUUUCACCAUGGUUCUACUCCCAGGCCCCUAAAAUUACCAAGCACUGAACAAAUAUGUGUUGAAUUAAUGAAUGAGUUAGAGUUGAACAAAAUUUAUAUUCUCAGUAAACUCAACCUCCUUAUUAAAAGACUCUUAA
rnacentral:lncRNA from 1 species